GCGAGUGCCCAAUAACGGGGAUGAGUUUCAAAGUCGGUCCUCCGCGACUGCCAAUAGGAGCCUCAAGCUAGAGAGGGACAGCCCUUUCAUCCGUUGAACCGGGACCUGCCUGAGAAUUAAACAGCCAAUCGGAGGCUUCGAGGAGCUCGAGCCGCGCUGCGUUUGGCCAAUCACUGAACGAGACCUCUGCCGCUUCGGUUUUGGCAGAAAACCCGGCGUCCCCCGCUAGCCUGGAAGGCUACUCGUAGGAGUUUGGCUGGAAGGGGGUGGAACAAGUCCCCAGCCGUGUCGCGAUAGGGUGUUGCGAUGGGGUGUCGCGAUUGGGGCGUCCUCUGCACAUUGCCCAUGUCGUGUCUUGUCACCUAGCCAGGGAACAGUUGCGAUGGGUCGCGGAAGAGACACGUCGUGGUCAGAGCCCUUGUUGUAGUGACAGGGUCUCCACGUUGUGACAACAGUCUGGGAGCCUCGGGACGCUGAGGCAGAGUGGGGGAGCACGUGCAGAGGCGGGAGCAAACCUAAAAACUGGGGUCCCUCCACCUUGGCCGAGGAAGAAAGCAGGCGGGUUGAAUGAAACGGCAGGAAGGAUGGAGAUCAGACCUCGGAAAGGAUCCUGACCCUUACUGAGAGAUAAGGAAAGUGAGUCUCAGAGAUCAAGCGACUUGCCCAGACUCACACUGCCAGGUAGUGCCUAAAACAGGAUUUCAACCCACAUCUUCCUGACCAGCUCCAGCUGGUUUGGGGGAAUGAGAUGACCUUUGGAGAGCUCCACAAGAGCGGAGAACACUGAGUGAUCGAGACCGCCUUGUGAAGUUGAUGGGGAGAAGAUCUGCUCUGUGUUCCUCUCAAUGGCUUCUGAACAAGGAGAAAGUGGCAACUACAAUUGGAGACAGUGUGUGUGUGAAGGGGUACAGAAUGGAGAUUUGUGUGACAAAGAAAGAAGAUAAAACGAGCCAUGUUGUCCAGCUAAAAGAAGGCUGAGGAGGCGACUGACUGCCAUGUGUUUUCUAGAAAAAAAGACUUCCCAAAAGAGAAAGGCCUCUUCUUCCCUAGUCCCUUGGAAAAUGGACCAAGAGGCAGAAAAGGUCUAAGAUUCCAAUGGGAUGGACUUAGGGCAAUGAGGCCAAAGCAGAGGGUUACAGAGGUGAGGAAGGGGAGGAAGCCAACAGCUAACACUACAACCAGGCCCCUGCUGUCCA